rnacentral:tRNA from 1 species
AGAGUGUAGCUCAGCGGCAGAGUGUAUGCUUAACGUGCAUGAGGUCCUGGGUUCAACCCCCAGCACCUCUG